GACGAACGCUGGCGGCGUGCUUAACACAUGCAAGUCGAACGAAGUGGCGUACGGGUGAGUAACGCGUAAUCAACCUGCCCUUCAGAGGGGGACAACAGUUGGCAACGACUCCUAAUACCGCAUACUGAAGGAGGGGCUUGCGUCGGAUUAGCUAGGUGGAGGGGUAACGGCCCACCAAGGCGAAGUUCAGAUGCCGGUCUGGGAGGAUGGACGGCCACAUUGGGACUGAGAAACGGCCCAGACUCCUACGGGAGGCAGCAGUGGGGAAACUUCCGCAAUGGACGAAAGUCUGACGGAGCAAAGCCGCGUGAGUGAUGACGGCCUUCGGGUUGUAAAGCUCUGUUAAUCGGGACGCGGUACCGGAAUAGAAAGCCACGGCUAACUACGUGCCAGCAGCCGCGGUAAUAC
rnacentral:rRNA from 1 species